UGUUAAAAAAUGCAAAGACAAUAGGUGUUUGCUUCAGAAUGAACUAAACACUGGAUGUGUGUGUGUAUACAGUAAGCUCUGGUAGCAGUUUAAAUGUUUGCAGACUAUUGAAUCCAAGAAUUUUGUUUUUUAAGUUUACUGGAAUACAAUGAAAGAGACUUAGGCCACCUAUUAAUAUAUUUAUAAUAUAUUUUCCUCUCAAGAUUUGGGAACUAAAUGAUGCUCUUCUCCUGAAAACAAUAUUUGCCCAGCUCUUAUACCCAAGAACUUGCCAGUCAAGAUGAAAAACAACUUCUAAUGGAAUCCAGCUUGAAAGCAACUCAAGAGCAGCUAAGUGAGCAAAUAGCAGAAACAGUUUGCCAAGAACAGAACAGUAGAAAACCAGAGUCGAAGAGCUGGAGACCCUGAGAAAGCGUACUAUGACUUCUGAAGAAGAAAUUAGUGAUUACAAGUGAGUUACUGCUCUUUUGGUAUUUGAGAAACAGAAGACAUUAAAGUCAGCAGUAAAUCCUUUUAAUAUGUACUGUAUUAAUCAUUUCUCUCAGAGACAUGAUGGUGUGCACCAUAUGGAGCUACAACUAAGGCAGAAAUUCUCCCAUCCAUCACAAAAGGUUGAUUUUGUUUACUGUCGUCAAACUUAUUAUUGAAUAAUUCCUAUUUUGUUUAAAAUAUCAAGAAAAGGGUGGAGGACUUUAAGACUCUAUGGUUAUGACUGGGAAAAGCUGAAUUGAUUGCAACGGAAAUCUACCUGACACUGGGCCAAAAAUUUUCAGAGCCCUACAGCUCUGCCCUUGCUUAUCACCACAGAAAAGGCAAUGAUCAAGGAAUUGAUCAAGGACAUACAUUAAAUGGAAUUUCUUCUAAUUUCUCCCAUCGUUAUGGAUUUAUAAGUGAGCAAUUUCAUAUUUAAUUGCAAAAUAAGUGGAGGCAUGUGUCUGGAAGAUGGGGAGAAUGGCAUAUUCAAUUUCCUUGUGGCACAUAUUAAAUUUUUAAGAACAUAUUUGCCUAGGCUUCUGCUGGAUUUAGUCAGACUUCAGCUAGCAGGUCAAAUACAACUGAAGAAAUAUCUCAGGAUUGCUAAAUUGACUUUGUACCACACAAGGCUCCAUUCAGGUACCAGAAGGCCACAAUUAGGUCACUCCUGAGCCAUCUGUUUUCCAGGUUGAACAAACCCAAGUCUCUCAGUCUUUCCUCAUAGGAGAGGUGCUCCAUCCUUCUAAUCAUCUUGUGGCCCUCCCUCUGGACUUGAUCCAACAGGUUGAUGUCCUUCCUGUGCUAUAUGUGCUAUAUGUUGACAAGAUAAUGCUUUUUUCAUCCUACAGCACUGUGUAAUCAGUUCUGCACAUAGUUACAAAUAAAAUUAUUUUAAAAAUCA